CCUACGGGGGGCAGCAGUGGGGAAUCUUGCGCAAUGGGCGAAAGCCUGACGCAGCAACGCCGCGUGCGGGAAGAAGGCUUUCGGGCUGUAAACCGCUUUCAGUAGGAACGAAACUGACGGUACCUACAGAAGAAGGAGCGGCCAACUAUGUGCCAGCAGCCGCGGUGACACAUAGGCUCCAAGCGUUGUCCGGAUUUAUUGGGCGUAAAGAGCUCGUAGGCGGUCGAGUAAGUCGGGUGUGAAAACUCUGGGCUUAACCCAGAGGUGCCACUCGAUACUGCUGUGACUUGAGUUCGGUAGGGGAGCGGGGAAUUCCUUGUGUAGCGGUGAAAUGCGCAGAUAUGAGGAGGAACACCGGUGGCGAAGGCGCCGCUCUGGGCCGUAACUGACGCUGAGGAGCGAAAGCGUGGGUAGCAAACAGGAUUAGAUACCCGAGUAGUC
rnacentral:rRNA from 1 species